UCAACGAAAUGGCGCGUGUAUAAGAAUUAUUCUAGUUUGACACUACCACGCCGGUUCUCUUUCCGCACAAACUGGAGGCGACAAAGUUCGCGGCCGCGAAGGAGGGCGUGGCGGAUAUGGUGCUGGCCUCCUAGACGCUGAAUUUCCGCUUCCAUAUAAUGGCUGUGAUGUCACAAACCAGCCUCCAACUUGACGUCACUUCCUCGUUCUGAUACGCAGUUACGGCGAUAAAUUGCGUUUCAGGAAAUGGAUAUGUCAUGAUUCGACGGAGAUCUGUGCCGACCUUUACUAGGUGGACCCUUGGCUCGUAUUUAUGAAGGG